GGGGGUGUAGCUCAUAUGGUAGAGCGCUCGUUCGUGAUGCGAGGCACGGGGUCUGGAUUCCCUGCACCUCCA